rnacentral:pre_miRNA from 1 species
AAUAGUUUUAUGUCACAUCAGUACUCUUAUCCUGAAUUUCAGGAUUUUAUCCUGAAAAAAAUUAAAUCCAAAUUAAAAUCUUAAAAUUCAGGAUAAGAAUACCGAUGUAACAUAAAACUAUU